rnacentral:rRNA from 1 species
AGAGUUUGAUCCUGGCUCAGGAUGAACGCUGGCGGCGUGCUUAACACAUGCAAGUCGAACGAAGCUUCCGGAACAAUCUUUCGGAGAGAGGGAAGGAAAGACUAGUGGCGGACGGGUGAGUAACGCGUGGGGAAUCUGCCCGUACCGGGGGAUAACACUUAGAAAUAGGUGCUAAUACCGCAUAAGCGCACGGUGUCGCAUGACACAGUGUGAAAAAACUCCGGUGGUACGGGAUGACCCCGCGUCUGAUUAGCCAGUUGGCAGGGUAACGGCCUACCAAAGCGACGAUCAGUAGCCGGCCUGAGAGGGUGAACGGCCACAUUGGGACUGAGACACGGCCCAAACUCCUACGGGAGGCAGCAGGUGGGGAAUAUUGCACAAUGGGGGAAACCCUGAUGCAGCGACGCCCGCGUGAGUGAAGAAGUAUCUCGGUAUGUAAAGCUCUAUCAGCAGGGAAGAUAAUGACGGUACCUGACUAAGAAGCCCCGGCUAACUACGUGCCAGCAGCAGC